GGGCCCGUAGCUCAGUUGGUUAGAGCCUCCGGCUCAUAACCGGGUGGUCCUAGGUUCGAGUCCUAGCGGGCCCA
rnacentral:tRNA from 1 species